rnacentral:lncRNA from 1 species
UUUCUUUGAAUUCAUCAUUCAGAUUUCUUUUUGUUGAUUUCUUUUUGUUAGUUAUAUAUCUAUUGAAUAUUGGUCUCCUUUGUUUGAUUGUGUUAGGUUUAUUUAAUGAGCUAAAAAGUUAUCUUCAUAGAGAUCUGUUUUUAAACGAGUAAUAAAUUUUAAGAACAACAGUCUGACAACAAAAAAAGUGUAAGGUAUGUAUGCUUACAAUUCUUUAUGAUAUGUAUGUAUAAAUUUUGUAUGUAUGCUUGGACAUUUUUCUUCAAAAUCAAUCAUUAUGAUAUGUUGAUUUGUCACUUUUUUUUUUCUUUUAUACUGUGUUUUCAAAAAAUAAUAAUUAGCAAACAGAAUUAUUAUUGAAUUGAUAUUAAACUAAACUUGGAUUGAGAUAAAUUGUGACCUUUUUAUAUAUACGAAAAAUGUUGUUCUUCUUCAUGCACUUGAUUAACACACACACAUAUUUGAAAAAUGCAUGCAAGAAAAUUGAAUUAAAUUCUUGAAUUGGUAUAUUAAAGUUUUUUUAAUAGAGAUAUGAAAUAGAGUUGAAAGAAAAAUAAAUUGAUUUUUAAACUUGAAAUGUAAAGCUUACAAAUACUAAUUAUUACAGAUAGGUAAAUGUUUUUUAUUCUCUUUCAUUGCAAAUAUGCAAUUUUGAGUUCUCAUUGUUAUUGGCAAAAUUACUUAAUAAAAAAUAUUCCAACUAAGAUGUUAUUGUACUGUAGUAAUUUAUCUGUCUGAUGUUAUAUAUAUGUUUGGUCUUCUCCCAUUUACUUAAUAAAUAAAAUUUUAAAAUUUAAGCCAUAACAUUAAAUGUUAAAACACAAUAUAAAAAAAUAUUUUUUUUAUGAUGCAGCUUAGAGUAUAAUUACCCACAGCAUACACAGGUUACAUGUAAAAAAAUUUCACAGAAUGAAUUCAUUGUUUUACAUUCUCCUUUAAAAAUUCAUAUUCAUGAAAUUUUACGUGCAUUAUGGAAUUUUAAAAUAAUUCUUAGGAGAAGUGAGUAAGAAAAUAAAAUUUUAAAAUAGAAUAUGAAAUAAAAUUACACCUAGAUAAAUGUGGUAAUGUUUAAUUUGAAUUUUUAAUUAUAACCACUCUAUUUGGGAGUCUUCUUUUAAUCUAUAUUUUAUUUAUUUUGUUAUGCAUAACAAAUCUUAUCUAUUCUAAAUUUUAUAUUUUGAGAUAAGAGAGAAGAAAACUCAACUGAUUAUAUGUAACACAAAAGAAAAUAAUUUUUAAAAAUUAAAUUAGAAGAGUAAAGUAAUAAAAUAUAGUAGAACAAAUAUGUACACCUAGAAUUGGAUGAGGGGUUUGAGGAGGAAAUUUGAACUAAUUUUGAGAUCAUAUUGAAAGCAAAUAAAUAUUGCACAUAUUACUAUUUGUAACUUUUAAACGAAAGAGAUAGAGAAACAGUAAAAUAAAUUAAAUAUUUUCUAUAGAUAUGUCAUUGAAUUUGAAUUCAAAAUUAAACUUAAAUUAGGAUAAUUUUUUUUUUAAAAUUCACUUUGUUAAUGUAAAAGAAAGAAAAAGACAUAUAUGUAUGUAUGUAUGUAUGUAUGUAUGUAUGUAUGUAUGUAUGUAUGUAUAGUUAAUACAUAAAAAUGACCCUAAACUUGACAUCAAAUUAUAACUUUGACCUUAAACUUUGAUAGUGCACAAAUAGGACCUUUAACUAUUCAAAACCUGAACAAAUAUGACCUCAGAUUUUGCAAUCUCAUGCGUGAGUUUCACUCACGCCUACAUGGAAAGGUAAUUCAAUCACACGGUGCCACAUCGUUAAAGGGGUUGACUUGGAGGAAGGUCAUAUUUGUGCAGUUUUGAAUAGUUAAAGGUCAUAUUUGUGCACUGUCAAAGUUUUGCUUUUUCUGUUAAAAAGGCGUCGUUUUUAUUAUUAUUAUUAUUAUUAUUAUUAUUAUUAUUAUUAUUAUUAUUAUUAUUAUUAUUAUUAUUAUUAUUAUUAUUAUUAUUAUUAUUAUUAUUAUUAUUAUUAUUAUUAUUAUUAUUUCUAUAGCUGCAACACCUAACCUUUUUUAAUUAAAAAAUCGAACCCGCGCAGUAGGCUUAAGGAAGCGCCCAAGAAGAGCAAAUAACAUCACUGGGCUAUCUAAGUGUCUUGUUUCAUGUGGUUCAACAUUAAUAUACAUACAUAAAUAUAGAUUUUCUACCUUAUAUAUAUAACGUAAUUUUUUUACCG